rnacentral:ncRNA from 1 species
CUGAAAUGUCUUUCAGGGUAGCUGCAGUUUUCUCAGGCACAUAGUUGUGUUUAGUAGUGAGCAAUUCGAGGUCUGGGGAGGAAAUGAUCUCAGCCUUCUUGAGUAGAAUGGGUAAGAAGCUAGGCUAUAUGGAGCUGAGUGUGGAAUGAGGGUUCCUAGUGAGUCAUGCUUGGUCAGAAGUGCUGCAGGACGAACAGAAUAUUGGUAUAGGUGCCUGACAGAGAUGCUCAUCAGACCCCAGGGAAGAUGUUGGUUGUUACAGACAGCAGGAAAGUGGUCAUUGAAGUCAGAUCUGCUAAGUGUGUGUAGCAACUCACCUGUGGAUAGACCUGACUCUGAAAGUAGAUGGCACUGGAGCUUAGGACCCAUAACUGGCCUUCUCUGCCAGUGAACACAUGAGAGACUGGCAGGAGAAGG